AGGCAAGGAUUCAGGGACAUCUCAGAGCCGCUGGGGUCUCGUCGGUAAAGUGGUGGUGGACGGCAUGGAGGAACUUUAGCCCUGGACCAGAAACUUUAGGUCAGUCUAUGUCAGCCAUUGUUGCUAUCAGCCUUCAGGUCGUCUGGGCUGGGAGGUCUCCUCCCUCUUCCUCCAGGCACCAGUGGGAGCAGGCAGUCACACCUUCCUGUGAGUGAGAACCAUAGCAGAACCUUCAAAGCACCUCUCAAGUCGGGGAAAUUCAACUACUGAGGAGGUUACGGCACAAAAAUGUCAUCCAGCUGGUGGAUGUGUUAUACAACGAAGAGAAGCAGAAAAUGUAUAUGGUGAUGGAGUACUGCGUGUGUGGCAUGCAGGAAAUGCUGGACAGCGUGCCGGAGAA
rnacentral:lncRNA from 1 species